rnacentral:rRNA from 1 species
UACGUAGGGUGCGAGCGUUGUCCGGAAUUAUUGGGCGUAAAGGGCUCGUAGGCGGUUUGUCGCGUCGGGAGUGAAAACACACAGCUUAACUGUGUGCUUGCUUCCGAUACGGACAGACUAGAGGUAGGUAGGGGAGAAUGGAAUUCCCGGUGUAGCGGUGAAAUGCGCAGAUAUCGGGAGGAACACCGGUGGCGAAGGCGGUUCUCUGGGCCUUACCUGACGCUGAGGAGCGAAAGCGUGGGGAGC